GCCGGGCAUGGUGGUGGAUGCCUGUAGUCCCAGCUACUCGGGAGGCUGAGGCAGGAGAAUUGCCUGAACCCAGGAGGCGGAGGUUGCAGUGAGCCGAGAUCGCGCCACUAUACUCCAGCCUGGAUAACAAGAGCGAAACUCCGUCUCAAAAAAUAAUAAUAAUCACCUUUUUUUUUGAGACAAAGUUUCGCUCUUGUUACCUAGGCUGGAGUGCAGUGAUGCGAUCUCGGCUCACCGCAACUUCCGCCUUCCGGGUUCAAGUGAUUCUCCUGCCUCAG
rnacentral:sRNA from 13 species